rnacentral:rRNA from 1 species
UACGUAGGGCGCAAGCGUUAUCCGGAAUUAUUGGGCGUAAAGGGCUCGUAGGCGGUUUGUCGCGUCGGGAGUGAAAACACUGGGCUUAACUCAGUGCUUGCUUCCGAUACGGGCAGACUAGAGGUAUGCAGGGGAGAACGGAAUUCCUGGUGUAGCGGUGAAAUGCGCAGAUAUCAGGAGGAACACCGGUGGCGAAGGCGGUUCUCUGGGCAUUACCUGACGCUGAGGAGCGAAAGUGUGGGGAGCGAACAGG